rnacentral:lncRNA from 13 species
GCCAGGUUUCCUCCUCGAGUGCGCCAGGAGGCGCUCGGUGAGUGGGGGGGUACUGUCAUGUUGUGUCUUGUCUCUGUCCUUUCCCUUCACCCUGUCUCCCUCUGCUGGUCGUUGUUAGGUUACCUUUUCUCCCCCGCUUUCUCCCAGCUGUUCCUUGUCUCCUCUAACUACCCAUUCACCCCGUUUCCCACCUGUUCCCUUUUUCCCUCUGAUUAGGUCCCUAUAUCUCUCUCUGUUUCUGUUCCUGUCCUUGUCGGAUUCUUGUUUGUUUGUGUUUCAUGCCUGAGCCAGACUAUCGUCAUGUUUGCUGUAACCUUGUCCUGUCCUGUCGGAAUCUGCCGGUCUAUCUGAGCCUACCUAUGUUUGGUUAUUAAAGAAGCUCUGUUUAAGUUAGUUCGCUUUUGGGUCCUCAUUCACUCACCAUAACACAUGCAGCUGUGGUGUUGUCACAUUGUCUUUAUCCAUACCAUAACUGCUGCUAUGGAUACGCCUGUUACUUGAGAACGCUGCCCUCUUUGCCAGGUCUCCCUUGAAAAAAAUAGCUUAUAUUACCAGGUCAAAAAUAACAUAACGGUUGUGUGCACUCUCACUAGAUAGAAUUCUAUGGUUCAGUGGCAGAUUUCGAAAAAAAGAAAAUGGACAUAUACAGUAUAUCAUCAGCAAUUCUCAAUCAGAUGAGAUAAACCGCUAACCCAAAAUUGAAUUUCAUAAAUGUGCGCACUAAUAAUUGUUAAUUUUCCAAUUCUCUAGGCCCGAUCCAUUCCCAAACUUGAUGCCCUCUGUCCCCAGCAGGAAAAACAGGAAAAAGUGUUGGCUUAAGGUAACCGUGUUUCCACCGUCUGGAGUGGCACGCUGGAACUUCCAGAGGCUUGAAGACCUGAAGCCAUGUGAUGUGGUCCAGGUAAUUAUCACACACACGUAUACUCACUCACUCACUCACUCGGUUUUGUUGUAUAAUUAUUUUCACUUAAAAAAUGUUUACCUUUCUUUUUUAAAUCUGACACCCCUAUUAGCUCAACCACAGUCCUCACAGCUGCAUUCAUCAGCCCCUGCACCUGCUACACCGGCUGUGACAGGUGAUUAUCACAUACAUGUAUACACACAUGCAUACUCUCCCUCACUUGGGGCUCUAUUCAAUCACAUCCACUUUAGCUGACAUCCACAUAGCGGUUGUUUUGGUGGUGUCUGAGGUGGAACUGUGUUAGAGCUGUCAUUCACAAGCUGCUCCCUGGCAUUAUACUUAAAGCGGACAUUGCCAUUGGCUGUACGGAGUCGCAUUAACAGAAAACUCAUGCAGCCCUGUUUACAAGUUUGAACACUGGAAUGUGAGAUGUAAUCUACACCUUGAGUAGUCUGAUAGAAAUCAUCAUUAUUUAAUUUAAUUAUUUUUUAAUUUGAGCAUCAAUAUGUCUGUAUAGCCUAAACUUUCUCGUUUUGAAUUUGUAACACAGGUAGGAUGGGUGCAGCUGCUCACCGAUUUGACAGUUCCGACGCAGUUACACCUCAGCUAUGCGGGUGUCGGCUUUCAGGCGGUUAACUCUUCAUCUGAUUGAAUCUAGGCCUUUCUCUUUUAGAUCUGCCACCCCUAGCAGUUCAUCUGCAGUCACAGCAGUCCUCUGCUGUGGUAUGUAAAUUACCGGCUGCACCAGGUCUUACUAUACUGGCCGUGAAGGGAGAAACUACUGAGGAAAACCCAGAUGGAUACAGGUCAUUCAUAAUUAUAUUACAUACACUCACUCACUCACACCAACAGAUGUGCACACAAACAUGUUGUUGACCUGUAUAGUUACUGUCACUUUGUUCAUCUCUUUCAGAUCGGCCAUGCUCUCCACCACUGCCCGACAGCCUCACCCAGAAGUCCAUACAUGGGGCCUAUCAAGAAUGACCCGACCUCUCCCCUCUCUGGGCCCAAGUAACUUUCCCUACAUAAACAUGCUUAUGAAAAUUAAUAAAACAUCUUAUUUAUAAAAGUUACCUAAAGAAUUCUGAUUCUGCUGCCACAGCAAUCUACACAUAAUACCCCAUAAUGACAAAGCAAAAACAUGUUUUCAGAAAUUGUUGCAAAUUUAUUACAAAUAAAAAUAAAAAUAAAUAUCUUAUUUACAAAAGUAUUCAGACCCUUUGCUAUGAAACUUGAAAUUGAGCUCAGGUGCAUCCAGUUUCCAUUGAUUAUCCUUGAUGUUUCUACAACUUGAUUGGAGUCCACCUGUGGUAAAUUCAAUUCAUUGGACAUGAUUUGGAAAGGCACACACAUUUUAUAUAAGGUCCCACAGUUGAGAGAGUGCAUGUCAGCAAAACCAAGCCAUGAGUUCGAAGGAAUGGUCCGUAGAGCUCCGAGACAGGAUGGUGUCGAGGUUACACAUCUGGGGAAGGGUACCAAAACAUGUAUGCAGCAUUUAAGAUCCCCAGAACACAGUGGCCUCCAUCAUUCUUAAAUGAAAGACGUUUGUAACCACCUAUACUCUUCCUAGAGCUGGCCGCCCAGCCAAUCUGAGCAAUCGGGGGAAAAGGGCCAUGGUCACACAGCUCUAGAGUUCCUCUGUGGAGAUGGGAGAACCUUCCAGAAGGGCAACCAUCUCUGCAGCACUCCAUCAAUCAGGCCUUUAUGGUAGAGUGGCCAGAUGGAAGCCACUCCUCAGUAAAAGGCACGACAGCCCACUUGGAGUUUGCCAAAAGGCACCUAAAGACUCUCAGACCAUUAGAAAUAAGAUUCUCUGAUCUGAUGAAACAAAGAUUGAAGUCUUUGGCCUGAAUGCCAACUGCCACAUCUGGAGGAAACCUGGCACCAUCCCUACGGUGAAGCAUGGUGGUGGUAGCUGUGGGGAUGUUUUUCAGCAGCAGGGACUGGGAGACUAGUCAGGAUGGAGGAAAAGAUGAAUGGAGCAAAGCACAGAGAGAUCCUUGAUGAAGUCCUGAGUGCUCUGGAUCAAGUUCUCAGACUGGGGCAAAGGUUCAACUUCAAACAGGACAACGACCCUAAGGACACAGCCAAGACAACGCAGGAGAGGCUUCGGGAUAGAUCUCUGAAUGUCCUUGAGUGGCCUAGACAGAGCCUGGAAUUGAACCCGAUUUAACAUCUCUGGAGAGACCCUAAAAUAGCUGUGCAGCGAUUCUCCCCAUCCAACCUGACAGACCUUGUGAGGAUCUGCAGGGAAGAAUGGGAGAAACUCCCCAAAUACAGGUGUGCCAAGCUUGUAGCGUCAUACCCAAGAAGACUUGAGGCUGUAAUUGCUGCCAAAGGUGCUUCAACAAAGUACUGAGUAAAGGGUCUGAUACCUAUGUAAAUGUGACAUUUCAUUAUUUAAAAAAAUAAAUUAUAAUUGUCAUUAUUUUUUUUUUACCUGUUUUUGCUUUGUCACUAUAGGGAAUUGUGUGUAGAUGGGGGGGAAAAAAUAUUUGAUCAAUUUUAGAAUCAGCCUGUAAUGUAACAAUGAGGAAAAAGUCAAAGGGGUCUGAAUACUUCCUGAAGGCACUGUAGGUACAGGGUUCCCAGGAGUGGCAGGCAAAUAUGUUUAUUGUCAUGCAAAAGUAUUUCUUAUGUACCAAAAACCAUUCCCUGGCUACCCAUUCCCCGGCCAAACUGAAGUUUGUUCUCUGCAAUGAAUGUAUGUGGUGAUUUAAAAUUCAGGGUGAGUCAUCAGAUAAACAAGGCCAAUGAAUGAAGAGAGAGGUGACCUGGAGGGAGUUCCAGACCUCAGCUUUUUAUGAAGCAGAAUAGCAGAGGGUGGGGGGUGGAUGACAAGGGGAAAAAAUAAACAUGCACACACAUUCUCCUCUCUCUCUUACACACACACACACACAUUCUCCUCUCUCUCUCUCUCUCUCUCACACACACACACACACACACACACAUUCUCCUCUCUCACACACACACACACAUUCUCCUCUCUCUCACACACGC